rnacentral:lncRNA from 1 species
UCAAAACUCAUCAUAUUUAGAGAAAAACUUCUCAUUCAAUAUACAAAAAAUUAGAUUAGAAAAAAGUGGAAUAAAAAAUAUAUAUAUAAAAUAGUAGCAUAAAAUAAUAUCAAAAACAUUAUAAUAAAACACAAAAAAUAUAUGAGAAGAGAGAUUAGAGAAGAUGAAAAAAAAACAUAAGAGAUGCGAGAUUGAGAAGAAAUGUGCGAUAAAAAUGUAAUUAGAAG